CUCAGGAGCGAACAGGUCUGGGUCCGGCGUGUCCAUCAAGGCCUCCCACACGCCGCCAAGACCGUGGGUUCCGGCGCGGCUGGCGUUCUCACCCGGCAGAUGGCUUCUUCCCAUCUGACGCAGGGCCCGUGUUGGUCUCGCCCUCGCCGACGUUCCUAUAAAGGCGCUCGGUCCGCAAGAUGCGCCGCACGACGGCCGCCCGCUCACCUUCCACCGUCCACAAGAUUCUCCGAGCCAUGUGGAAGUACACGGCGAUGCUGCUGCUCUGGCUGCUGUGCCUCGUCGCGGCCGCUCCGGCGCAAAGUAAGCCGCAUAUGGAGCCGAUUGCUCAC
rnacentral:lncRNA from 1 species